UACGAAGGGAGCGAGCGUUGUUCGGAAUCACUGGGCUUAAAGCGCGCGUAGGCGGCUCCGCAAGUCGGCCGUGAAAUCUCCGGGCUCAACUCGGAGGGGUCGGGCGAGACUGCGGGGCUCGAGGUGGGCAGAGGGCAGUGGAAUUCCGGGUGUAGUGGUGGAAUGCGUAGAGAUCCGGAGGAACACCAGUGGCGAAGGCGGCUGCCUGGGCCUGGCCUGACGCUGAGGCGCGAAAGCGUGGGGAGCAAACAGG
rnacentral:rRNA from 1 species